AAACUGCCCUCGGGGCAAAGAAGCCUGCAGAAUAAUUGGGAGGAGUCUGGCAGGAAGGAAGCCAAGAGCUGCCUCCUGCCCCUGAGGGGAGAAGUCCAUCCUCUUCUAUAGGAUACACCUGUUGGCUUGUUUGUCCAUCCUUCCCCUUUCUGGGAAUCGUUCUCCAUCAACAUAUUUAUGGGGACAGCCAUUUCUAUACAAUGUGACCUGUAUUGAUCUAUUUUGUGUUUCUAUAAAUAAAUACCUGAGCCUGGUAAUUUUUAAAGAGGUUAAUUUGGCCCAUAAUUCUGCAGGCUGUACAAGAAGCAUGGCACCAGCAUCUGCUUCUGGUGAGGCCGCAGGAAGCUUCCACUCAUGGUGGAAGGUAGAGGAGGAGCAGGCAUGUUAUAUGGCAAGAGCGAGAGCAAGAGAGAGAGCAGAAAGUGUCAGGCAACCAGCUCUCAUGUGAACUAAUGAGCAAGGACUCACUCAUCACCAAGGGGAUGGCCCCAGCCAUUCCUGAGAGAUCCACCCCCUGACCCAAACACCUCCCACCAAGCCCCACCUCCAAGACUGGGGGUCAAAUUUUAACAUGAGACCUUCAUUAUCA
rnacentral:lncRNA from 1 species